UACGAAGGGGGCUAGCGUUGUUCGGAAUUACUGGGCGUAAAGCGCGCGCAGGCGGCUAUCCAAGUCAGUGGUGAAAGCCCGGAGCUCAACUCCGGAACUGCCAUUGAAACUGUUUAGCUUGAGGACGAGAGAGGUGAGUGGAAUUCCCAGUGUAGAGGUGAAAUUCGUAGAUAUUGGGAAGAACACCGGUGGCGAAGGCGGCUCACUGGCCCGAUACUGACGCUGAGGUGCGAAAGCGUGGGGAGCAAACAGGG
rnacentral:rRNA from 1 species